AUGGCGGAGCGUCUUGCUGCUGUGCCGGAGUUGAGCACGGCCAGCUUCACGGUUCCGUCCCCGCCGCGCGGCUUGUACCGCGAUUUGGUCCGGAGCGUUGUUGUCUCUGGUGGGCUGGUAAGACCGUCUCCCUACUCCCAGUCUGGCCAUAGUGGGUCAUCAGGAAACUCCACUGCCUCAAGUUCCUGCCUGACCAACUCCGGCAUCUCCUCUCGUUCAGCCUGCGAUGCCACAACUGAUUUCGGAGCGAACGAGCUCACGGUGAUCACUCACCGGAUGUUCAGCGAUGGGUACAUCGAGCGCAUGGUCCAAGCGUUCGAAUCCGGCGGCGACCCGAGCCGUGAGCUAGAGAAGUGGCUAUUCGAGCUCGACGUGGAAUGGGUUCUCCAAGUACGCGAGGGCCAUGGCCCACGGCGGCAGCUCCAGUUCCUUUUCCAGGUCCAGCUCCCAUACAAGUCGGCAUCGUGGCUCCAAGAAUUGGUCGGGAGGUGGAUUCUAGCUUUCAUUAUAAUUCUUGUCAGCAUAAAAAAGGUGGCCUUCACCGUCCAGGACACACCGGCUGUCGCACGGUUUGGCAAAGCGAGCAUCUCGGCGAUGCUUGUCUUUGUGGACGCUAUCAUCCCAGUUCUCAAGGAGGGCAAGUUACAGGCCAUGCUAGACAUGUAUGCCUGCGUCUCCCCCCGUGCACCGUACUACUUUACGACCCUCGUGGGCUCACCAGAAGCACACAUCAUUUUCAAUGAGAUAGACGGCUUGUUGGAGAUACGAGGGAACAUGCUAAGCGAGGCCAUAUCCAACACAAUGGAGGAGGUGAGGACACUCAUGGAGGACAACGACUCGUGGGCUAUUGAGCUCCCGAGAGGAGGAGGCGAUGUUCACCGGAAUACCCGGUGCAUGGUGGAUUACAUCGUGUCGAUGAAGAAAGCGCGCGCAUCCACGCAGAACUCUGCACCGAGGCACGACCCCGUGUAUCUUGAUGGGCUGAUAGAUGACACGAUGGAUUAUCUGAAGGAUCUGCUUCUGAGAAAAUCGGAACUGUUCUUGGAUCCAAGCCUCAGGUACCUGUUCCUGCUCAACAAUUCCUAUUUCAUAGCGCAAGUGGUGUCUGGGCCAUCGGCUGAAUGUGAAAAGUACAUGGAUAGCCAUCUCGAUGUUUCUUGGGGAAAUGCGGUGUCCAGCCUAUGCUGCAAACCGAAAUCCAUUUUUGGUACCACAGUGCUCUGCUGUUGGAAGUGGGACAACACCUCUUCAGUAGCUAAAUUCCAGUCAGCGUUUCACAAAACGUACCAGGCUCAACAAUUCUGGAAGGUCCCAGACCCUCAGCUCCGAUGCGCGCUGCGAAAAAACAUCACCAAGAGGAUCGUUUCAGCUUACCGCAACUACCUGGAGGAGCAUCCGGAGCAACAGAAAUAUGUUAUUGACGGAAACAGCAGUCCAGAAUGUUUGGAGGAGUUGCUGACAGAGCUAUUUGAAGGAUGA
rnacentral:rRNA from 1 species